CGAGUAAGUCAGAUGGUCGCGUCAGUGAAGCAAUUUACUGACGAGGAAAGUCCGAGCUCCGCAGGGCAAGGUGCUGGGUAAUACCCAGUGGAGGCGACUCCAAGGAUAGUGCAACAGAAAUAGACCGCCUGGUAUGUUGUUGAGAGUGCAACCCACUGUAGAAGGGGUUACCUUCUCGACAGCAUACUAGGUAAGGAUGGAAAGGUGAGGUAAGAGCUCACCAGCAACUAGGCGACUAGUUGGCUCUGUAAACCCCACCCGGAGCAAGACCAAGUAGGGACAAAAAAGCGGCUGCCCGUCGUGUCCCGUGGUAGGUUGCUUGAGCCUGCUGGCAACAGCAGGCCUAGAUAGAUGACUGUCGAAUACAGAACUCGGCUUAUAGACUUGCUCGCUUA
rnacentral:RNase_P_RNA from 2 species